ACCCGCUCAAAAACCCUACCUCAAGCGCUCAAACACUCCCAAGCUCUUGUCCUACUCAACUUUCCUGUCCGUCUCUCUUGAUUCCCAAACGUUUAGCUGUACAGAAGAAACCAAAGAAUAUACUUCUAUACUACAUUGAUUCAAAAUCCCUACUCCGUUUACCCUCCAACCCCAGAGGAUUUCUGCUCCCAAUUCCGCUUCCCAAUUUUUGUUUUAGGGUUCCACACCAGAUGGCAUUGGACGAGGAUGUCGUGCUGCGCGAUGUCACCAAUGCUGGUGUUGUCAUCAGCGACCGCAUUUCCAGAGAAGUUGCCACUCAACUUGAUCUGGAGGAAGCGCUGGAAGCUUCCAGAUACGCUACCGAUCCGUAUACAACCCAUCCCAGAGAGUGGCCUCCUCUUGUGGAAGUGGUGGAUACUUGGGAGUUGCCUCCAGUGCUUAUAGAAAGAUAUAAUGCCGCUGGUGGGGAAGGAACUGCCUUAUGUGGAAUAUUUCCAGAAAUACGAAGAGCUUGGGCAUCUGUUGAUAAUUCUUUAUUUCUUUGGCGAUUGGACAAGCGGGAUGGUCAAUGUCCUGAGUUUAAUGUGGAGGAGCAAGCCAUCUGUGCCGUUGGCCUCACCAAAUCCAAGCCUGGUGUUUUUGUUGAGGCAAUACAGUAUCUUUUAAUUCUAGCUACACCAGCAGAGUUGAUUCUUGUAGGAGUAUGCUCUUCUGGUGGUGCUGAUGGUAUGGAUCCAUAUGCAGAGAUUUCACUCCAGCCUUUGCCAGAGUAUACUAUUGCGUCAGAUGGAGUCACUAUGACUUGCAUCACUUGCACUGACAAAGGACGAAUUUUUUUGGCUGGACGUGAUGGCAACAUUUAUGAGCUUCAUUACACAUCUGGUUCUGGUUGGCAAAAGCGAUGUCGUAAAAUUUGCCUUACUUCUGGUUUAGGAAGUGUGAUAUCAAGAUGGGUUGUGCCGAAUGUAUUCAAGUUUGGAGCUGUUGAUCCCAUUGUUGAAAUGAUCUAUGAUUGUGAAAGAUGCAUUUUAUAUACAAGAACUGAGGAAAUGAAAGUUCAAGUAUUUGUGUUGGGAUCCAAUGGUGAUGGACCGCUUAAGAAAGUAGCAGAAGAAAGAAAUUUGAUCAAUCAGAGAAAUGGAUCUUAUGGAAGUAGACAGUCAAAAGGACCUAGAGCUAUGAGUCGAUCAACAAUGCCAUCUAUUGUCUGCAUAUCACUCUUAUCUACACUUGAAUCAAAGUCAUUACACCUUCUAGCGGUUUUAUCAGAUGGUAGAAGGAUGUAUUUAACCACUUCACCAUCAAAUGGGAACUUGGGUGCAUAUAAUUCCAGCCAUCAGACGCCAAGUUGUUUAAAAGUUGUGGCUACAAGGCCUUCUCCUCCCCUAGGUGUUGGCGGAGGACUUACAUUUGGUGCCAACUCUGUCUCUGGUAGACCUCAAAAUGAAGAGCUGUUGCCGAAGGUUGAGACAGCAUUUUACUCUGCUGGGACUCUAGUCCUCUCCGAUUCUUCACCACCAACUAUAUCUUCACUUCUCCUUGUGAGCAAGGAUCCAGUAGCACAAUCUUCGAUGUCUGGUACUUCAGCCUUAAAUGCAAGGACUUCUUUUGCUUUAAGGGAAAUUGUUUCUUCUCUUCCUGUUGAAGGUCGAAUGCUUUUUGUAGCAGAUGUUUUACCCUUACCAGAUGCUGCAGCCACUAUGCAGUCUUUAUAUUCACAGAUUGAGUUUGGGGUGUCAGAUUUCCCAGAUGGGCAUGGUGAAAAAGCAGUUGGAAAACUGUGGGCAAGAGGAGACCUAUCUACCCAACACAUAUUACCUAGGAGGAGACUUGUUGUAUUCAGUACCAUGGGCAUGAUGGAUAUAGCUUUCAACAGACCCGUGGAUAUUUUGAGAAGGUUGUUUGAGUCUAAUUCACCAAGAUCAAUUUUGGAAGACUUCUUCAAAAGGUUUGGAGCUGGUGAAGCAGCUGCCAUGUGUCUAAUGUUGGCUUCAAGGAUUGUCCACUGUGAAAGUCUCAUAACCAAUGUUGUUGCAGACAAGGCAGGUGAAGCUUUCGAGGAUCCUAGAAUUGUUGGGAUGCCUCAACUUGGAGGCCAUACUGCCUUGUCAGACACAAGAACUGCUGCUGGUGGGUUUAGCAUGGGUCAGGUUGCUCAGGAUGCUGUGCCAGUAUUUUCAGGUGCACAUGAAGGGCUCUGCUUAUGUUCAUCAAGACUGCUUUUUCCACUAUGGGAACUUCCUGUCAUGGUUGUUAAAGGUAUCUCAGAUUCUACAACUACUUCACACAACGGAUUAGUUGUAUGUAGGCUUUCUGUAGGAGCGAUGCAAAUCCUUGAGCACAAGCUCCGCGCUCUUGAAAAGUUCCUAAGGUCAAGAAGGAACCAGAGAAGAGGUCUUUAUGGUUGUGUAGCUGGUUUGGGAGAUGUUACAGGUUCUAUUCUUUAUGGUAGUGGUUCAGAUCUUGUUUCUAGUGAUCGGAAUAUGGUGAAAAGCAUUUUUGGUACAUACACAAGAAACAUGGAAUCUGCUGGGACUGGAGCUUCUAAUAAAAGGCAGAGAUUACCUUACAGUCCUGCUGAGUUGGCGGCCAUGGAGGUUAGGGCAAUGGAAUGUAUUAGGCAACUGCUGCUUAGAUCUGCUGAAGCUUUGUUUUUGCUUCAGCUUCUUUCUCAACACCACUUAACACGCUUGGUUCAGGGCUUGGAUGAUAGUUUUAGGCAGGCAAUAGCUCAAUUGACUUUUAAUCAGCUUGUUUGUUCAGCAGAGGGUGAUAAUCUUGCUACGAGACUUAUAUCUGCUCUAAUGCAGUACUAUACUGGUCCUGAUGGCAGGGGAACUGUAGAUGACAUUAGUGGGAGAUUAAGGGAAGGCUGCCCAAGCUACUUUAAAGAGUCUGAUUAUAAAUUUUUCUUAGCGGUGGAAUGUCUGGAGAGGGCUGCUGUGACUCUUGACCCGAUGGAGAAAGAGAAUCUUGCUAGGGAAGCCUUCAAUUGUUUGAGUAAAAUUCCAGAGUCUGCAGAUUUACGAACUGUAUGCAAACGUUUUGAGGAUUUAAGAUUCUAUGAAGCGGUGGUUCGUUUGCCUCUGCAGAAAGCCCAGGCUCUUGACCCUGGAGGUAAUGCUUUUAAUGAUCAAACUGAUUUGGCUGCUCGAGAACGUGCACUUUCCGAGCGUGAACAGUGCUAUGAAAUAAUUAUAAGUGCUUUACGUUCACUAAAAGGUGAUGUCUCACUGAAAGAAUUUGGGUCUCCUAUGAAGCCUGCUGCUUUAAGGUCCAUUCCUGAUAUGGCAACACGUAGUAAAUAUAUAUGCCAGAUUGUGCAGCUUGGAGUUCAAUCACCAGAUAAACUUUUCCAUGAUUACUUGUAUCGGUCUAUGAUUGAUUUGGGGCUUGACAAUGAAUUGUUAGAAUAUGGAGGACCAGAUUUGGUACCGUUCCUACAAAAUGCUGGGCGGCAUCCCAUACAAGAGGUUCGAGCUGUCUCAGCUCUAACAGCUGGGGCUUCUCCAAUUGGUCAGUCGGGAGCAGUUGGUGCAACAAAUGAAGCCAAAUUUUUUGAUCUUUUAGCUCGAUAUUAUGUUAUGAAGCGGCAACAUUUGCUUGCUGCUCAUGUGCUGCUAAGACUAGCUGGUAGACGCUCAUCUGAUCCUGGGGAUGUUCUUACUUUGGAGCAGAGGUGCCAAUACUUGAGCAAUGCAGUUUUACAAGCAAAGAAUGCUAACAGUAGCAAGGGGUUGGCAGGUUCUACCCCUGAUACCUUAGACAAUGGAUUGCUUGAACAGCUUGAAGGGAAACUUGCUGUUCUUCGUUUCCAGAUGAAAAUUAAGGAGGAGCUUGAGGCUUUAGCUUCAAGAAUAGAAUCCGUGGCAAGUACAUCUGAUUCAGUCCAAAAUGAAAUGAUCCCAGAUAAUAAUGAUUUGGCUGCCAAUUCCAGUAUUGCAAAUACGGCUCGGCAAAAGGCUAAAGAGCUCUCAUUGGAGUUAAAGACUAUAACUCAGCUAUAUAAUGAAUAUGCUGUUCCAUUUGAGCUAUGGGAGAUAUGUUUGGAAAUGCUGUACUUUGCAAACUAUUCUUCUGAUGGCAAUACUAGUAUUGUCAGAGAAACUUGGGCUCGAUUAAUUGACCAAGCUCUUUCUACGGGUGGCAUUGCUGAAGCUUGUUCAGUACUAAAAAGGGUUGGUGUCCACAUUUACCCUGGCGAUGGAGCUGGAAUACCUUUGGAGUCUCUUUGUCUUCACCUUGAGAAGGCUGCAUUGGAGAGAUCAGAAUCAGGUGUUGAAUCUAUUGGGAACGAUGAUGUUGCAAGAGCCCUUAUUUCUGUUUGCAAGGGUGCAACUGAGCCAGUAUUGAAUGCUUAUGAUCAAUUGUUGUUGAAUGGUGCAAUUCUGCCAUCACCCAAACUCAGGUUACGCCUCCUCCAAUCUGUGUUAGUGGUACUCCAUGAGUGGGCUAUGUCAAUAUCUUCACAGACUGUGGGUAGAAGUGCAACUUCAGCAUCUCUAGUUCUUGCGGGAAAAUACUCUUUGGAUCAAGUAGCUAUUUUCAACCAAGGGGUUCGGGACAAGAUAGCCAGCGCUGCUAACAGAUAUAUGACUGAGGUUCGUAGGUUAGCCCUUCCACAAAACCAAACUGAGGCUGUCUAUCGAGGCUUUAAGGAGCUUGAAGAGUCACUAGUUAGUUCCUUUUCUUUUAGUCAAUUUUGAUUUAUCUUUGUUCUAUAAUUUCUGUUGUACCAAAUGUUUGAGGUCUCAAUUGAUUCUUUCAAGAUACAAAGGUAGAUUUUUCAAAGCUGAAGUGGCUUCUGUAACCCGCAAUGUAAUAUUAUCAGAAGGUAGUUAAUGAUGCAGUGUAAUGUUGGAUAAUAGAUACCUACUUGUGUUGGCAUGUUGAUGCAUGUAAAGCUAUCGUAAUCUUGUCAGUUUGGUUCACUUGCUCCAUGGGGUUGGGAUAAUGAGACGUAGUAAUGUAUUUACAGUACACAGGUAACUGGCCCGGACAUCAACGAGGCAAGUCAAUUUUGACUGUUGACGGUGUCACGGUUGCUGCACAUCCUGCUGGAAAAUGACAGCCUUCGUAAUGCCUUGGUAGGGGGUAAAUAUUUGAUUGAGACAUCCGUAGUUAUUGUCAUUCCUAUUUAUCAUGUUUGUGUUUGCAACUUUGCACCAGUUUAAGUGCCUGGAAAUGCAUUUCAGUAGAAUAACUGCAAUGAACACUCUCGAGAAGUUUAGGAUUCUGCUUUGGCUGUGAGAGUUGUGCUAAUAAUCCGGACGAACAGCCUGGCCGUGGGGUAUUGCAACGAGUUGGUCGAUGUAAUUUUAUUUAUCUAGAUUUUCUUAGUUUGAUUGGUUGAUGGUAAAUUUCCAUGUCCAGUUUAUUUGAUUGUUCCAUGACCUGUGAUUUUCUUAAAGAGCUUAUGGUGUGUUUUUUUGGUUAAUAUUUCAAAAUUCUUAAUGGAAAAA